AUGAAAGCAAUGUCCGAGUUACCAAGUGGAUUUGCCUCUGGUACAUCUCAUUGCUUCAGAUUCCUCUACUCAAGUCUCGUCGAGUACAUGCAGCUCGCCGCAUUCAUUGCUUGUAUUGUUAUGUCUUCAUUGCGUCUGAAAAGACAAGAUUAUGUUGAUGCUCGGAAUCAAGAGGACGAUGAUCAUAAGAAUAUUAGGCAGUCCCUGAACAUAUUCUACGCAUUGGUGUUCAGCCAAUGCAUUCUCCAUUUCGUGACUGCGAUAGUGGCAAGGCCAUCGGAACGGAUGUUUGUGGUUUGUUUGAAAUAUAAGCUAGACCUUUGGGGGUUACUAGCUCUUACUCGCUAUCUACAGGAAUGCCUUCUAAAAUGCAUUAGUGGGGAUCUUCGUGAGGCAGUCAACAUGGACUUGGUUUCCUUUGCUAAGCAGAUGUUGAACUCUAAUAACUCACUGGAUGACCAGCUGCUGGGAAUUCGUAUUCUUGACCACCUCCUCAGAAUCAAGGAACACAAAGCAAUGGUGCUCACGAAGAUUAGAUCUUCUCUUGAUACUGUCGAGAAAGCAGUCUACAUGCUGGGCUUGAAGAAAGAAGUGGAACAAGACACCAGGGGGCAUGCUGCGCGCGUGCUACUGGAGCUCGCCCCUGACCUUCAGGUCGAGAGCUUUCCUGGUAUUUUUCAGUCUAUUUCUUCACUGCUUAUCACACACAAGGCAACGAUUAGUGGGAGCGUUAGCAACUCAAUCCGCGUGAGCAUAAGCAAAGAGCUCACAUUGCUUGGUGUAGAUAUUCUUGACAAACUCCUGACUAAUCCAGAAAACCGUGCGGAGGCGAAGAAUGCCAAGAACCUGCUCUCCAAGAUUCUGGACAUUACAAACUGCAAGGAUGAAAAAACUCUAGACUCCAAUAUUGAUAAAAUGAUUGUCGAGAAUUCACUAGAUGUCUUGCGCAAGCUUGUGAGCACAGCUGGUGAGACUGGCGAGGAGCUCAGGUGCCAAGUAUCCAAGAAUAUGCACGCCAUGCGAAACAUCAGAAAGUUCUUCAUAGAUUAUGCCGAAAGCCAACCAGCGAUGCUUGCUCAAGCAGCAGACAUCCUUGCAUGCCUAGCUUUAAAUGACAGUGCCAGGAAGGAGAUAGAAAGAUCACACCUAAUCAUCUGGAAACUCAUUAGUCUCCUAGCUGAAGACAGUGAUGAAGGCCAAGAAAGCUCUGUGAGAGUGUCGGCAACCGGAGUCAGAAUGUCAGCGGUCGAAGCGCUAGUAUUGCUCAAUGCUCCUAUCAAAGAAAAUGCUAGGAUCAGCGCAGUGAAUGAAAGGAGCAUCAUGGCCAUAUUGUCAGAAACUAAGCUUGAAGAUAUGCAACGAAUUGUGUCUACACUCUCCGACGAGUCCGCAGAGCACAGAAUUAUGGUGGCGAAAUUCUUGCAGAAUCUUCGGGGUUACCAGGGAGCACAUUACGGUGAUCAGCUGGAGACAGUCAACAAAGCUCUACCGAAGGAAAUGGAGGCUCUCAUGAUAAAAGAACAAGGCAAGCUGUUGGAGAGCUUUAUUGGCCUGUGCAUGCAAACCUGCACCAGCGGGAAUGCAAAGCAGUUCACUAACGCCCUGAGAAAUGCCGAGAUUACAAACGAUAUGUUCGUCCAGAUGCUUAGGAAGAUACUGGAGUUGUACAAGUCGCCAACUCCCGAUGCUCCGGGCAUAAGAAGGGUGGUGAUUCAGCAAAUGAAUUGGAUGAUGGAUAUGGAUAGCAAGUACAUCAACAUUUUCCUGAGGCAUGAAAUGGAUAAGGCACUGAAAGAAGUAGCACAGACGGCACUGAAGCUUGAGAAUUAUUGGUUCUUUCGUUUUGACGUUGGGACUUUUGAGCAUGAUGAAUCCAUUUCUUCUAUUCUGAGCAUUUCGCCACUAAUGCAGGCAGGUGGUUCCGGCUUAUAG
rnacentral:rRNA from 1 species